UUGACUAUUAGCACAAUGCUAUAAUUGAGCUAAUCUCUGUAGUUUGGUGCAGGACCACCAAGUUUGUGUGACCUAUUACCUACUUUUUCCAUGCUCAGCCAUUACCCUGUCCUGGGGCAUCUGAGGGCAAUAAGGAACAGGUGUCCAAAGGAGGAAUGUUGGUGCCUAUGGUAUGUUUUCCAGUUGUAUUGAAUUUCUUACUUGGUGUAUUUUUGACUUGUCUUAGUUUCUUUCCUUGUGAUCUAUGCUAUUUUACUUGCUAUUUGUUGGAUAUUCUCCCCUGUCAUUAAAAGGGAGUUAUAAAAUGGAAGUUAGUAUUUCUAUGCAAAUGCCUAGGUUUAGUGUUGAUUUUUGCAGGUGUCCUUCAACAAGUGUGAAGGUGAUAAAUGUGUUUCCAUGGCUUUAGACUCAUUUUUGAAGUAUUGGAUUGUGUGAACAUUCUUAGAAACAAUAGAAUGUUUUAAUUAAAAGCCCUCGACUACCAGUUGAACUCAGUGUCUACUAGGAAAAUGGGUAGAUUUGUUACAUUGUCCCUUUGCUCUCUAUGACUUUGUUCCAGUUGUCAAGGAAUUUAAAUGGGUAUUCAGGGAAAAAGAAUUCUUGUUUCCCUUUCUUCACCUUGCCAGUUAAAACAAAUAACUCCUGGUGAUACUUCAGGUGGUAGAAUUGAAACAAAACCUGACUUCUGACCACAUGGGUCAAAGGCAAAUGGCUUCAUUUGCCUUUAGUGUGGUUAUCCAGUUUGGGUAGUGAGGAGAUAACUUCUGCUUUCCUCCCUGAGGAGUUUGGAGUAUUUAAGCGGGGAAGGGGGGGAGGUGUCACUUUGAAAAUAUGUUGCUUUUUCUCCUGAUUGUAUUGAGGCUGAUAUGGAAGGGUUAUUUCUUUCUGGCCAGUACUUUUUGGUAUUUGUAAAUAUUGCAAUUUUGAUUUUUACUAUUUGUUAAUUGUCAGUUCUGGCUUUUUUUGCAUAAGGAGUUGGUCCAUUAACUUGUCAAUUUGAAGCUUCUAACUAGAUAUUCCCUACUGAAAGUUUUGGAUUUGUUUUUAGUUUGUGGAGCAGUCUUAGCUGGGGACAGGUAAUUAACAACAGCAGAGAUACUUCCUUUUCCUAGGAUUCUAAGUCUGUAAUCCACAUCCUCAGUGUAUUCACAGGACUUUAAAAUUCUCUCCAAAUGAGGAAGGAAAUAUCCUGUUGCUUUCUAAUGUUUACUAAAAGUUGUGUUUAGAACAACAGAUUUUAAUAGGCAUCUUCCUUUGUUAUGUGUCAUUAGCCCUUUGCCCGUUUACCUUAGGGUUCUUUGAAGGAGAAAUGGAUGGGAGAAAACCUGUCACUUGGAAAAAGUAAAAGGAAUAAUUAACUGACUCAGAGCUUAUGUGCAGAGUUCCCAGCCUCAAAGUUAAUCUGGAACUGCUCGAUAGCACCAAUAAAAAUAUUUAUUUCACAUCUGUUAUUUCUGGAAAAUGUUCUAAGCAUCUUACAUAUAUUUCUCAUUAAAUUCACAGGUGGCCAUUGUGAGGUAGAUAUUUUGUUCUCAUUUUCCAGAUGAGGAAGCUGAGACCCUAAAAGGCUGACCGGUUCCCUGAUGUGUUACCUGCUUCUGCUACUGAUCCAAACUGCAGAACUUCUCCCCCAAGGCCUCCAGGCAGUAUCCAAUGGGGAAUCAGCUCUAAAAGGAACCAGACCAACGUUUUCCAGCCCCUUCAUUCUGUAGCUACCCUCUGUGUGAGGAAAGGAUAGAAAUGUUCAGGACAUCAUCAUACAGGCUCCUCAUCUACAAAGUUCCAGUAGCAGUGACGCCUACACGGAAGACUUGGAACUGCAAACAGAGGCUGGGGUCACCUCAGUGACAUCUCCUGACGCUGUCCAACCAGAAGUUCGAUUUUUGUUCUGGGGGUGAAGGAGGAAACAGACUGUACUAAAGGACUAAAAUAAUUUCUUGUCUAUACUA